rnacentral:rRNA from 1 species
AGUCUUGACGGCGGGCUACCAUGCAAGUCGAGCGGUAACAGGGGUAGCUUGCUACCCGCUGACGAGCGGCGGACGGGUGAGUAAUGCAUAGGAAUCUGCCCGAUAGUGGGGGAUAACCUGGGGAAACCCAGGCUAAUACCGCAUACGUCCUACGGGAGAAAGGGGGCUCCGGCUCCCGCUAUUGGAUGAGCCUAUGUCGGAUUAGCUAGUUGGUAAGGUAAUGGCUUACCAAGGCAACGAUCCGUAGCUGGUCUGAGAGGAUGAUCAGCCACAUCGGGACUGAGACACGGCCCGAACUCCUACGGGAGGCAGCAGUGGGGAAUAUUGGACAAUGGGGGCAACCCUGAUCCAGCCAUGCCGCGUGUGUGAAGAAGGCCCUCGGGUUGUAAAGCACUUUCAGCGAGGAAGAACGCCUAUCGGUUAAUACCCGGUAGGAAAGACAUCACUCGCAGAAGAAGCACCGGCUAACUCCGUGCCAGCAGCCGCGGUAAUACGGAGGGUGCAAGCGUUAAUCGGAAUUACUGGGCGUAAAGCGCGCGUAGGUGGCUUGAUAAGCCGGUUGUGAAAGCCCCGGGCUCAACCUGGGAACGGCAUCCGGAACUGUCAGGCUAGAGUGCAGGAGAGGAAGGUAGAAUUCCCGGUGUAGCGGUGAAAUGCGUAGAGAUCGGGAGGAAUACCAGUGGCGAAGGCGGCCUUCUGGACUGACACUGACACUGAGGUGCGAAAGCGUGGGUAGCAAACAGGAUUAGAUACCCUGGUAGUCCACGCCGUAAACGAUGUCGACCAGCCGUUGGGUGCCUAGAGCACUUUGUGGCGAAGUUAACGCGAUAAGUCGACCGCCUGGGGAGUACGGCCGCAAGGUUAAAACUCAAAUGAAUUGACGGGGGCCCGCACAAGCGGUGGAGCAUGUGGUUUAAUUCGAUGCAACGCGAAGAACCUUACCUACCCUUGACUUCUACGGAAGCCGGAAGAAAUUCUGGUGUGCCUUCGGGAACUGUA